CAGUCGCCGCGGUAAUACAGAGGGUGCAAGCGUUAAUCGGAAUUACUGGGCGUAAAGCGCGCGUAGGUGGUUUGUUAAGUUGGAUGUGAAAUCCCCGGGCUCAACCUGGGAACUGCAUCCAAAACUGGCAAGCUAGAGUAUGGUAGAGGGUGGUGGAAUUUCCUGUGUAGCGGUGAAAUGCGUAGAUAUAGGAAGGAACACCAGUGGCGAAGGCGACCACCUGGACUGAUACUGACACUGAGGUGCGAAAGCGUGGGGAGCAAACAGGAUUAGAGACCCCUGUAGUCCCUGUCUCUUAUAC
rnacentral:rRNA from 1 species